AGCAGCCGCGGUAAUUCCAGCUCCAAUAGCGUAUAUUAAAGUUGUUGCAGUUAAAAAGCUCGUAGUUGAAUUUCGAGACCGGUUUACUGGUCGUGCUUUUGUACGUACUGGUAUUAUUGGUUUCUCCUUUCUGACGAAUCUUAAUGCCAUUAAUUUGGUGUUUUGGGGAAUCAGGACUGUUACUUUGAAAAAAUUAGAGUGUUUAAAGCAGGCUCACGCUUGAAUACAUUAGCAUGGAAUAACGGAAUAGGACGUUUGAUUCUAUUUUGUUGGUUUCUAGGAUCGACGUAAUGAUUAAUAGGGAUAGUUGGGGGCAUUAGUAUUCAAUUGUCAGAGGUGAAAUUCUUGGAUUUAUUGAAGACUAACUACUGCGAAAGCAUUUGCCAAGGAUGUUUUCAUUAAUCAAGAACGAAAGUUAGGGGAUCGAAGACGAUCAGAUACCGUCGUAGU
rnacentral:rRNA from 1 species